UACAGAGGUCUCAAGCGUUGUUCGGAUUCAUUGGGCGUAAAGGGUGCGUAGGCGGGGCGGUAAGUCGGGUGUGAAAUCUUGGAGCUUAACUCCGAAACUGCAUUCGAUACUGCCGUGCUUGAGGACUGGAGAGGAGACUGGAAUUUACGGUGUAGCGGUGAAAUGCGUAGAUAUCGUAAGGAAGACCAGUGGCGAAGGCGGGUCUCUGGACAGUUCCUGACGCUGAGGCACGAAGGCCAGGGGAGCAAACGGG
rnacentral:rRNA from 1 species